rnacentral:rRNA from 1 species
AGUGAACGCUGGCGGUAGGCCUAACACAUGCAAGUCGAACGGCAGCACAGUAAGAGCUUGCUCUUACGGGUGGCGAGUGGCGGACGGGUGAGGAAUACAUCGGAAUCUACUUUUUCGUGGGGGAUAACGUAGGGAAACUUACGCUAAUACCGCAGACGACCUACGGGUGAAAGCAGGGGAUCUUCGGACCUUGCGCGAUUGAAUGAGCCGAUGUCGGAUUAGCUAGUUGGCGGGGUAAAGGCCCACCAAGGCGACGAUCCGUAGCUGGUCUGAGAGGAUGAUCAGCCACACUGGAACUGAGACACGGUCCAGACUCCUACGGGAGGCAGCAGUGGGGAAUAUUGGACAAAGGGCGCAAGCCUGAUCCAGCCAUACCGCGUGGGUGAAGAAGGCCUUCGGGUUGUAAAGCCCUUUUGUUGGGAAAGAAAAGCAGCAGGUUAAUACCCCGCUGUUCUGACGGUACCCAAAGAAUAAGCACCGGCUAACUUCGUG